UUACGACCAUAUCAUGUUGAAACAUCAGUUCCCGUGCGAUCACCGAAUCUAAGCAACGUCGAACCUGUUCAGUACCUAGAUGGGUGACCGCUUGGGAAUACCAGGUGCUGGA